AGGGCUCUCAUGACAAGAUCUUCGGUCCCCCCCAAUUCCCUCUAAACCCUAAAUGGCUUCUUGGAAUUUCGACAAGGCAUUAUCUUCUUCCUUCAUUUAUGUACUUUAGUUAUUGUCGUUCUGCUUGGUACAGCAGACCAGACACCGCUUUAUCUGCUCAUGGAUGAUGAUGGGUAACCUCGAAACUUGCGGGAUGUAUGGAAAAAAGUGGAUCUUGAGGAUGAUGCAAAAGCCAGAAGUGACGAAGUUAGUUCAUCUGCUCAUGCAGGUCAUGCGAAACGAAAUGAUGUUGAAGCUGCAAACAUAGAAUGCAGACAUUUCACAAAUUUAUUCUAGCGGAUUCCUCUAUGUACAAAGGCCCAUGAUUACCGCAGGAAACACACAGAGAGAGAGAGAGAGAGAGAGAGAGAGAGAGAGAGAGAGAGAGCAGUAGAGAAGCGAGUGACUGAGACUUUACAAAACCAUGCAUGCACAAAAGGAAAUUCGAAAUGGGAAAAUGGGUAAGGGGAACGAAAGAGCAUUGAGAAUGGAUAAGAAGAAGAUAUGAUGAUGAUGAUGAUGAUGAAGAUAAGUCAAUCCCAUGCGAGGCCAAGACCGCCUCUAUGGCGCCUGCGGACGCCGGAUAAGAAGCAGAGCAGGAACGCCAUGCCCAGCGACGACACGGCUGAGCUCACCACCUCGAGUGUCGCCGGGAGCCGCCGGUCCUGCAGCCCCCAUAUGGCCCUUGCCAGCGUCCCAAAGCCGUCCACGACCACCGCGAUCAUCACCGCCAUUCCCGCUUUCCCCGCUGAGCCCUUCCGUAGGAGAAGGAAGAAGAAGAAAGUGGGUGGUCUAGCUAGCUAUUCUUCUUGGGAGCAGAGUGUCGGGAGGGGCGAGCUUUCGUAGCCCCAGCUUCCAAGCAAAGCAAAGGCCUAACGAGUGAGAAGAAGACAGAAGGAGAUUGGAGUCUUGCACUGGUAGGAAGGGCCGUCGCUUCCACGUUGCUUCCUUCUCUCUCUCUCUCUUUCGACGACGAUGAUGAGUGGGGAGGAAGCUUUAUCCGAAACUUCGGCACAAAAACUUGUGAUGGGACCGGAAGGAAUGGAAUGAAAAAUUGAUUUUAAGUGUAUUAUUAUGGUACUGGUUUAUGACUUAUAUAUAUAUGAGGAUGAUUGCCCCAAUGU
rnacentral:lncRNA from 1 species